rnacentral:rRNA from 1 species
GACGAACGCUGGCGGCGUGCCUAAUACAUGCAAGUAGAGCGCACAGUUUAUACCGUAGCUUGCUACACCAUAGACUGUGAGUUGCGAACGGGUGAGUAACGCGUAGGUAACCUGCCUGGUAGCGGGGGAUAACUAUUGGAAACGAUAGCUAAUACCGCAUAAUAUUGAUUAUUGCAUGAUAAUUGAUUGAAAGAUGCUAUUGCAUCACUACCAGAUGGACCUGCGUUGUAUUAGCUAGUAGGUGAGGUAACGGCUCACCUAGGCGACGAUACAUAGCCGACCUGAGAGGGUGAUCGGCCACACUGGGACUGAGACACGGCCCAGACUCCUACGGGAGGCAGCAGUAGGGAAUCUUCGGCAAUGGACGAAAGUCUGACCGAGCAACGCCGCGUGAGUGAAGAAGGUUUUCGGAUCGUAAAGCUCUGUUGUAAGAGAGGAACGGGUGUGAGAGUGGAAAGUUCACACUGUGACGGUAUCUUACCAGAAAGGGACGGCUAACUACGUG